rnacentral:rRNA from 1 species
UUAAGCGACUAAGCGUACACGGUGGAUGCCCUGGCAGUCAGAGGCGAUGAAGGACGUGCUAAUCUGCGAUAAGCGUCGGUAAGGUGAUAUGAACCGUUAUAACCGGCGAUUUCCGAAUGGGGAAACCCAGUGUGUUUCGACACACUAUCAUUAACUGAAUCCAUAGGUUAAUGAGGCGAACCGGGGGAACUGAAACAUCUAAGUACCCCGAGGAAAAGAAAUCAACCGAGAUUCCCCCAGUAGCGGCGAGCGAACGGGGAGGAGCCCAGAGCCUGAAUCAGUGUGUGUGUUAGUGGAAGCGUCUGGAAAGGCGCGCGAUACAGGGUGACAGCCCCGUACACAAAAAUGCACAUGCUGUGAGCUCGAUGAGUAGGGCGGGACACGUGGUAUCCUGUCUGAAUAUGGGGGGACCAUCCUCCAAGGCUAAAUACUCCUGACUGACCGAUAGUGAACCAGUACCGUGAGGGAAAGGCGAAAAGAACCCCGGCGAGGGGAGUGAAAAAGAACCUGAAACCGUGUACGUACAAGCAGUGGGAGCACGCUUAGGCGUGUGACUGCGUACCUUUUGUAUAAUGGGUCAGCGACUUAUAUUCUGUAGCAAGGUUAACCGAAUAGGGGAGCCGAAGGGAAACCGAGUCUUAACUGGGCGUUAAGUUGCAGGGUAUAGACCCGAAACCCGGUGAUCUAGCCAUGGGCAGGUUGAAAGUUGGGUAACACUAACUGGAGGACCGAACCGACUAAUGUUGAAAAAUUAGCGGAUGACUUGUGGCUGGGGGUGAAAGGCCAAUCAAACCGGGAGAUAGCUGGUUCUCCCCGAAAGCUAUUUAGGUAGCGCCUCGUGAAUUCAUCUCCGGGGGUAGAGCACUGUUUCGGCAAGAGGGUCAUCCCGACUUACCAACCCGAUGCAAACUGCGAAUACCGGAGAAUGUUAUCACGGGAGGCACACGGCGGGUGCUAACGUCCGUCGUGAAGAGGGAAACAACCCAGACCGCCAGCUAAGGUCCCAAAGUCAUGGUUAAGUGGGAAACGAUGUGGGAAGGCCCAGACAGCCAGGAUGUUGGCUUAGAAGCAGCCAUCAUUUAAAGAAAGCGUAAUAGCUCACUGGUCGAGUCGGCCUGCGCGGAAGAUGUAACGGGGCUAAACCAUGCACCGAAGCUGCGGCAGCGACGCUGAUGCGUUGUUGGGUAGGGGAGCGUUCUGUAAGCCUGUGAAGGUGUGCUGUGAGGCAUGCUGGAGGUAUCAGAAGUGCGAAUGCUGACAUAAGUAACGAUAAAGCGGGUGAAAAGCCCGCUCGCCGGAAGACCAAGGGUUCCUGUCCAACGUUAAUCGGGGCAGGGUGAGUCGACCCCUAAGGCGAGGCCGAAAGGCGUAGUCGAUGGGAAACAGGUUAAUAUUCCUGUACUUGGUGUUACUGCGAAGGGGGGACGGAGAAGGCUAUGUUGGCCGGGCGACGGUUGUCCCGGUUUAAGCGUGUAGGCUGGUUUUCCAGGCAAAUCCGGAAAACUAAGGCUGAGGCGUGAUGACGAGGCACUACGGUGCUGAAGCAACAAAUGCCCUGCUUCCAGGAAAAGCCUCUAAGCAUCAGGUAACAUCAAAUCGUACCCCAAACCGACACAGGUGGUCAGGUAGAGAAUACCAAGGCGCUUGAGAGAACUCGGGUGAAGGAACUAGGCAAAAUGGUGCCGUAACUUCGGGAGAAGGCACGCUGAUAUGUAGGUGAAGUCCCUCGCGGAUGGAGCUGAAAUCAGUCGAAGAUACCAGCUGGCUGCAACUGUUUAUUAAAAACACAGCACUGUGCAAACACGAAAGUGGACGUAUACGGUGUGACGCCUGCCCGGUGCCGGAAGGUUAAUUGAUGGGGUCAGCGCAAGCGAAGCUCUUGAUCGAAGCCCCGGUAAACGGCGGCCGUAACUAUAACGGUCCUAAGGUAGCGAAAUUCCUUGUCGGGUAAGUUCCGACCUGCACGAAUGGCGUAAUGAUGGCCAGGCUGUCUCCACCCGAGACUCAGUGAAAUUGAACUCGCUGUGAAGAUGCAGUGUACCCGCGGCAAGACGGAAAGACCCCGUGAACCUUUACUAUAGCUUGACACUGAACAUUGAGCCUUGAUGUGUAGGAUAGGUGGGAGGCUUUGAAGUGUGGACGCCAGUCUGCAUGGAGCCGACCUUGAAAUACCACCCUUUAAUGUUUGAUGUUCUAACGUUGACCCGUAAUCCGGGUUGCGGACAGUGUCUGGUGGGUAGUUUGACUGGGGCGGUCUCCUCCUAAAGAGUAACGGAGGAGCACGAAGGUUGGCUAAUCCUGGUCGGACAUCAGGAGGUUAGUGCAAUGGCAUAAGCCAGCUUGACUGCGAGCGUGACGGCGCGAGCAGGUGCGAAAGCAGGUCAUAGUGAUCCGGUGGUUCUGAAUGGAAGGGCCAUCGCUCAACGGAUAAAAGGUACUCCGGGGAUAACAGGCUGAUACCGCCCAAGAGUUCAUAUCGACGGCGGUGUUUGGCACCUCGAUGUCGGCUCAUCACAUCCUGGGGCUGAAGUAGGUCCCAAGGGUAUGGCUGUUCGCCAUUUAAAGUGGUACGCGAGCUGGGUUUAGAACGUCGUGAGACAGUUCGGUCCCUAUCUGCCGUGGGCGCUGGAGAACUGAGGGGGGCUGCUCCUAGUACGAGAGGACCGGAGUGGACGCAUCACUGGUGUUCGGGUUGUCAUGCCAAUGGCACUGCCCGGUAGCUAAAUGCGGAAGAGAUAAGUGCUGAAAGCAUCUAAGCACGAAACUUGCCCCGAGAUGAGUUCUCCCUGACUCCUUGAGAGUCCUGAAGGAACGUUGAAGACGACGACGUUGAUAGGCCGGGUGUGUAAGCGCAGCGAUGCGUUGAGCUAACCGGUACUAAUGAACCGUGAGGCUUAACCUU